rnacentral:rRNA from 1 species
CUGGCUCAGGAUGAACGCUAGCGGCAGGCUUAACACAUGCAAGUCGAGGGGCAUCGGGUGUAGCAAUACAUGCCGGCGACCGGCGAAAGGGUGAGUAACGCGUGAGCAACGUGCCCGUAUGUGGGGGAUAGUCGAUGGAAACGUCGCGUAAUACCCCGUAACACAUGGAACUGCAUGGUUUCAUGUUGAAAGAUUUAUUGCAUACGGAUCGGCUCGCGUGCCAUUAGGUAGACGGCGGGGUAACGGCCCACCGUGCCGACGAUGGCUAGGGGUUCUGAGAGGAAGGUCCCCCCACAUUGGAACUGAGACACGGUCCAGACUCCUACGGGAGGCAGCAGUGAGGAAUAUUGGACAAUGGCCGGAAGGCUGAUCCAGCCAUGCCGCGUGCGGGAAGAACCGGCCCUAUGGGUUGUAAACCGCUUUUGCGAGGGAGCAAUAAGGGCAACGUGUUGUCCGAUGAGAGUACCUCGCGAAUAAGCAUCGGCUAACUCCGUGCCAGCAGCAGC